AACGCUAGCUACAGGCUUAACACAUGCAAGUCGAGGGGCAGCAUGAGCUUAGCUUGCUAAGUUUGAUGGCGACCGGCGCACGGGUGAGUAACGCGUAUCCAACCUUCCGUUUACUCGGGUAUAGCCUUUCGAAAGAAAGAUUAAUCCCCGAUAGUAUGGUAAGAUUGCAUGAAAAUACCAUUAAAGAUUAAUCGGUAAACGAUGGGGAUGCGUUCCAUUAGGUAGUAGGCGGGGUAACGGCCCACCGUGGCGACGAUCGGUAGGGGCCCUGAGAGGGGAAUCCCCCACAUUGGGACUGAGACACGGCCCAAACUCCUACGGGAGGCAGCAGUGAGGAAUAUUGGUCAAUGGGCGCGAGCCUGAACCAGCCAAGUAGCGUGCAGGAAGACGGCCCUAUGGGUUGUAAACUGCUUUUGCAGGAGGAUAAUAUGUCCCACGUGUGGGAUAUUGCAGGUAUCCUGCGAAUAAGGACCGGCUAAUUCCGUGCCAGCAGCCGCGGUAAUACGGAAGGUCCGGGCGUUAUCCGGAUUUAUUGGGUUUAAAGGGAGCGUAGGCGGGAGAUCAAGUCAGUUGUGAAAAGCAGCCGCUCAACGGUUGUCGUGCAGUUGAUACUGGUUUUCUUGAGUGCGCGCGAGGAUGGUGGAAUUUGUGGUGUAGCGGUGAAAUGCUUAGAUAUCACGAAGAACUCCGAUUG
rnacentral:rRNA from 1 species